GGAUGGUCCCGUCGGAAUGGUCUGACAGCGGUCUUGAAAACCGUGGCCCGCGAGAGCGGUGAGGGUUCGAUUCCUUGGCCAUCCUCCA
rnacentral:tRNA from 1 species